rnacentral:tRNA from 1 species
CGCGGGAUGGAGCAGCUCGGUAGCUCGUCAGGCUCAUAACCUGAAGGUCGUGGGUUCAAAUCCUACUCCCGCAACCA